rnacentral:rRNA from 1 species
GACGAACGCUGGCGGCGUGCCUAAUACAUGCAAGUAGAACGCACAGUUUAUACCGUAGCUUGCUACACCAUAGACUGUGAGUUGCGAACGGGGGAGUAACGCGUAGGUAACCUGCCUGGUAGCGGGGGAUAACUAUUGGAAACGAUAGCUAAUACCGCAUAAUAUUAAUUAUUGCAUGAUAAUUAAUUGAAAGGUGCAAUUGCACCACUACCAGAUGGACCUGCGUUGUAUUAGCUAGUAGGUGAGGUAACGGCUCACCUAGGCGACGAUACAUAGCCGAACUGCGAGGAUGAUCAGCCACACUGGGACUGUGACACGGCCCAGACUGCUACGGGAGGCAGCAGUAGGGCAUCUUCAGCAAUGGACGAAAGACUGAGCGAGAAACGCCGAGUGAGUGAAGAAGAAUUUCGGAUCGUAAAGCUCUGUUGUCAGAGAGGAACGGGUGUGCGAGUGGAAAGUUCACACUGUGACGGUAUCUUACCAGAAAGGGACGGCUAACUACGUG